GCUGUCUUGAGAUCAAAAUCUUUAGAAACGCCAGGAUAAAUUGGAAACUUAUGGGAUUAGCUUGUGAUAUUAAUACCUGGGAUAGUAUUUGUUGCGAGAAAAAUGAAAUCAACAGAAAAAUUAGAGUCGUUGCUAUGAUUUUCUCCAUCUCACCCUUCACUUAGGAGAAUCAGCGAAUUCUGCAAAAUUUUUCCAGGAAAUUGCUUGAGCUUGUUUGGCUACUAGAAAUCUGGUAAUUUUUCAGAACAUACAAUAUCCACAUGCAACAUUCAGAACAUUGUAGUGCCUGUUGUCAAAAUGCUGAUCA
rnacentral:misc_RNA from 1 species